rnacentral:rRNA from 1 species
GUUGUUGGGUAGGGGAGCGUUCUGUAAGCCGUUGAAGGUGUGCUGUGAGGCAUGCUGGAGGUAUCAGAAGUGCGAAUGCUGACAUAAGUAACGAUAAAGCGGGUGAAAAGCCCGCUCGCCGGAAGACCAAGGGUUCCUGUCCAACGUUAAUCGGGGCAGGGUGAGUCGACCCCUAAGGCGAGGCCGAAAGGCGUAGUCGAUGGGAAACAGGUUAAUAUUCCUGUACUUGGUGUUACUGCGAAGGGGGGACGGAGAAGGCUAUGUCAGCCGGGCGACGGUUGUCCCGGUUUAAGCAUGUAGGCGGAGGUUCCAGGUAAAUCCGGUACCUUAUUAACGCUGAGGUGUGAUGACGAGGCACUACGGUGCUGAAGUGAUAAAUGCCCUGCUUCCAGGAAAAGCCUCUAAGCAUCAGGUAACACGAAAUCGUACCCCAAACCGACACAGGUGGUCAGGUAGAGAAUACCAAGGCGCUUGAGAGAACUCGGGUGAAGGAACUAGGCAAAAUGGUGCCGUAACUUCGGGAGAAGGCACGCUGAUAGGUAGGUGAAGUCCCUGCGGACGGAGCUGAAAUCAGUCGAAGAUACCAGCUGGCUGCAACUGUUUAUUAAAAACACAGCACUGUGCAAACACGAAAGUGGACGUAUACGGUGUGACGCCUGCCCGGUGCCGGAAGGUUAAUUGAUGGGGUUAGCGGCAACGCGAAGCUCUUGAUCGAAGCCCCGGUAAACGGCGGCCGUAACUAUAACGGUCCUAAGGUAGCGAAAUUCCUUGUCGGGUAAGUUCCGACCUGCACGAAUGGCGUAAUGAUGGCCAGGCUGUCUCCACCCGAGACUCAGUGAAAUUGAACUCGCUGUGAAGAUGCAGUGUACCCGCGGCAAGACGGAAAGACCCCGUGAACCUUUACUAUAGCUUGACACUGAACACUGGUCCUUGAUGUGUAGGAUAGGUGGGAGGCUUUGAAGCGUGGACGCCAGUCUGCGUGGAGCCAACCUUGAAAUACCACCCUUUAAUGGCUGGUGUUCUAACGUAGACCCGUAAUCCGGGUUGCGGACAGUGUCUGGUGGGUAGUUUGACUGGGGCGGUCUCCUCCCAAAGAGUAACGGAGGAGCACGAAGGUUGGCUAAUCCUGGUCGGACAUCAGGAGGUUAGUGCAAUGGCAUAAGCCAGCUUGACUGCGAGCGUGACGGCGCGAGCAGGUGCGAAAGCAGGUCAUAGUGAUCCGGUGGUUCUGAAUGGAAGGGCCAUCGCUCAACGGAUAAAAGGUACUCCGGGGAUAACAGGCUGAUACCGCCCAAGAGUUCAUAUCGACGGCGGUGUUUGGCACCUCGAUGUCGGCUCAUCACAUCCUGGGGCUGAAGUAGGUCCCAAGGGUAUGGCUGUUCGCCAUUUAAAGUGGUACGCGAGCUGGGUUUAGAACGUCGUGAGACAGUUCGGUCCCUAUCUGCCGUGGGCGCUGGAGAAUUGAGGGGGGCUGCUCCUAGUACGAGAGGACCGGAGUGGACGCAUCACUGGUGUUCGGGUUGUCAUGCCAAUGGCACUGCCCGGUAGCUAAAUGCGGAAAAGAUAAGUGCUGAAAGCAUCUAAGCACGAAACUUGCCCCGAGAUGAGUUCUCCCUGAGACUUUAAGUCUCCUGAAGGAACGUUGAAGACUACGACGUUGAUAGGUCGGGUGUGUAAGCGCAGCGAUGCGUUGAGCUAACCGAUACUAAUGAACCGUGAGGCUUAACCUU